rnacentral:lncRNA from 1 species
CGGGGCAUCCAUUCCUUCCUAGUUAAGAUGGUUUUCCAUGAUAGGAUUCCAUUUGUAAUAGAGUUUUUUGUUGGGUAGUUGUCAUUUGUGUCAUUGGUUCUAUUGUGGUGUGGGCAACAAUAUCUGGUGACUCCCUAUAUUUCUAUAGAUUUUCACCACUUCUAACAUUUUUCAUGUUUUUUGCACUAUUGAGUGAUUUAAAAAUACUCCUUUUUAAUGUUGUAUCGUCAUUAGAUCUUAUAAAGGAAAAUAGCCUCUAUUAUGUCUUCAAUGAUCCUCGUUUCUCAAAGUCUAUGCCAGUUUCUGCGAAAAAAAGAUUAUUUUCAGGAGGCCAGGUUUGAACUCAAGGUCUUGUGACCUAAGGGUCAGCACUGUACCAUCUACCUGACCCUUACCCAUAGUAGCAGGAUGGAAGAAAAUAAUGUGAUUAAGACACGUAAUGCAUGUGAACCAUCAAACUUUGGACCCAAAGGUGAAAAAAGGAUCCAAGAUUCCUUCUCUUUUGGAGAACGAGGGCACCCAGGCAACAUAGUCACUGGAGUGUUGGAAUUCAAAUUUGGACUCAAAUAUUUACUAGAUAUAUGACUCUGGACAAGCCACUUAACCUUUGCCUCAUUUUCCUUAUCUGUAAAAGGGAUAAUAAUAGAAUCUACCUUAUAAGGUUGGUGUGAGCAUGAAAUUAGGUAAUAAAUAAAAAUAGUUUU